AUGCAACGUGUGGCCGCAAACAUUUUGUUUUUGUUUCCACGAUACUUUCUUCCAAUUUCUCACGGUCUCUCCUUCAACCAAUUCUUUAUCCUUUAUCAAUUUUCUCCCUGUUCUUGGCUUCUCACCAUCAAUCUAUGUGCUUUCCCCAUACCUCACUCGGUUAAGAAUAACAACCAACCUCUCCAAGGUUUUGGACAGGCUUAUGCAGGAGCUGUUUUGUGCAGAUAUUUUGUAACUAUUUUGCUUGGACAAGGACAAGGAAAUAACAUGUUUUGGGCAGUAGAAUUUUGGACUCAUUGGACUUAUUGA